rnacentral:rRNA from 1 species
AUGGGUCACGUCGCCGACCGCCUGAGCAACCUCCGCGACGGCGUGAUCGGCCACAUCCUCGUCCACACCGUCUCCCUGGAGCAGCCGGAGCGGCCCUACUUCAUCUACGACCGCGGCAGCAUGUACGACCGCGGCGUGGCGCGGCGCCUCAUCGCCGCCGUCAAUGCCGCCCUCUUUUCGCGCUACCGGCGCCCCUACCCUGCCGCCGCCACGGUGCCCCUGCGAGCGCUCCGCGUGUCCCUCGAAGGGUUCAACCCCGACGACAAGUCCGGGGUGGACCUGUGCCUCUCCUACGCCCUGAGGCAUGCCGCCCCCGAGUUCGACCUCGACUUCCGCUUCGGCCGCGACUCCGCCUGCGGCCGCUACGACCGCUUGGACGCCGCCGAUGCUGAUAACGAUGACGAUGUCGCCGCCUAUAGCCCAGUCGAGGUUCGAGCCGUCGCUGUGAGUCCGCGGAGGAAGUCUCCCGAGUCCGACGACCAUUCCCACGGGGUGCGCCCCGAAGACGAAGACGAAGACGAUGUCUCGUCCAGCGACGACGAUGACAAGAGGGUUGCUCGACCGUGGAAUCGGCCGUCCCUGGAGUACACCGUACUAAGUGGGCUCUUGUCCUGUGCCACGCUGCGAUCCCUCCGCCUCGGCUACUGCAGGCUCUCCCCGCCGGUGGCCAUCAGCCUGCCGUCGCUCGAGGCGCUCCACCUCACCCACGUCCCCGACGAGGAGGAGCACGUGCAGAGGCUCAUCUCCGCCUGCCCGCGGCUUGCGGACCUGACGCUCGAGGCCUGCGGCACGGUGACCGCACUCUCCCUCCUGGACAACGCGUGCCUCCGUAGGCUGGCCAUCCGGUGCUGCCACAAGCUGGCCAGCCUCGCCGUCGACGCACCAGAGCUCCACUCCUUGGAGUACCGUGGCCCUGUCCCCGACGACUCAUUCCUCACCGUGCGUGGGGGCGGCGGCGGCGGCUUCCCGGCCGUCACGUCGUGCAAGAUCGACAUCCUCGAGGAGGCCACGUCGGAGGAGGAGCUCGCCAAUCUUGGCUCGUUCCUGCAGCAGUUGGCCUCGACCACGAAACACCUCCGCCUACGCUCCGCUCGCAUGGCGCCUCGCGCCGACGGCCACUUCGCGGACGCUGGGCACAGCAAGGGGGAGCUCCUCGAAGCGCACCAUCUGCACUACUCCCGGUACGACAGCCUCGACUACGCGCCGGCGGUGGUCCCGCCGUGCCUUGGAAGCCGGGUGAGGAAGGUGGAGUUGCUGCAGUACCAGGGCGGCAGAGCGCAGAGGACGCUGGCCAGGUUCUUGCUCCGCAACGCGCCGGUUCUUGAGCAGCUCUACUGUGGACUCGCGGAUGGGCCGGAGUGGGUUCAGAGGGAAUUGAUACUCCCUAAUUUUGGAAUCCUUUUAUUAUAUCUAUUCAAUUGA